UAUUCUACCAGUUUCAAAGUG
rnacentral:piRNA from 1 species